UACGUAGGGACCAAGCGUUGUUCGGAUUUACUGGGCGUAAAGGGUGUGCAGGCGGUUUUAUUAGUCCUUCGUGAAAGCUCUCGGACUCAAUCCGGGAAACGCGGUGGAAACGGUAAAACUUCGAGGACGCGAGAGGUAGAGGGAACUCAUGGUGUAGGGGUGAAAUCCGUUGAUAUCAUGGGGAACACCAAAUGCGAAGGCACUCUACUGGCGCGCUCCUGACGCUCAGACACGAAAGCGUGGGAAUCGAAUGGG
rnacentral:rRNA from 1 species